GGACUACCGGGGUAUCUAAUCCUGUUUGCUCCCCUAGCUUUCGUGCAUCAGCGUCAGUUAUGGUCCAGUGAGCCGCUUUCGCCACAGGUGUUCCUUCCGAUAUCUACGCAUUUCACCGCUACACCGGAAAUUCCACUCACCUCUCCCAUACUCAAGCCCGACAGUUUCGCAUGCAGACUUCGGGUUGAGCCCGAAGAUUUCACAUGUGACUUAUCAAACCGCCUACGCACCCUUUACGCCCAAUAAUUCCGAACAACGCUUGCCCCCCUCGUAUUACCGCGGCUGCUGGCAC
rnacentral:rRNA from 1 species